AUCAACUUUCGAUGGUAGGAUAGAGGCCUACCAUGGUGGUAACGGGUAACGGGGUGUUAGGGCACGACACCGGAGAGGGAGCCUGAGAAACGGCUACCACAUCCAAGGAUGGCAGCAGGCGCGCAAAUUACCCAAUCCCGACACGGGGAGGUAGUGACAAUAAAUAACAAUACGGGGUUCUUUAGGAUCUCGUAAUUGGAAUGAGUACAAUUUAAAUCUCUUAACGAGGAACAAUUGGAGGGCAAGUCUGGUGCCAGCAGCCGCGGUAAUUCCAGCUCCAAUAGCGUAUAUUAAAGUUGUUGCAGUUAAAAAGCUCGUAGUUGAAUUUCGGGGUUAGUAGGUUGGUCAUGCCUCUGGUAUGUACUGGUCUCACUGAUUCCUCCUUCCUGAUGAACCUUAAUGCCAUUAAUUUGGUGUUUUGGGGAAUUUGGACUGUUACUUUGAAAAAAUUAGAGUGUUUAAAGCAAGCUAACGCUUGAAUACAUUAGCAUGGAAUAAUGAAAUAGGACGUUCGAUCCUAUUUUGUUGGUUUCUAGGAUUGACGUAAUGAUUAAUAGGGAUAGCUGGGGGCAUUAGUAUUCAAUUGUCAGAGGUGAAAUUCUUGGAUUUAUUGAAGACUAACUACUGCGAAAGCAUUUGCCAAGGAUGUUUUCAUUAAUCAAGAACGAAAGUUAGGGGAUCGAAGACGAUCAGAUACCGUCGUAGUCUUAACCAUAAACUAUGCCGACUAGGGAUCGGAUGAUGUUAAUUUUUUAAUGACUCAUUCGGCGCCUUACGGGAAACCAAAGUGUUUGGGUUC
rnacentral:rRNA from 1 species